AGGGCCGUCGAAGACUACGACGUUGAUAGGUUGGGUGUGUAAGCGCUGUGAGGCGUUGAGCUAACCAAUACUAAUUGCCCGUGAGGCUUGACCAUAUAACACCCAAGCAAUU
rnacentral:rRNA from 2 species